rnacentral:rRNA from 1 species
CAGAGGGGUGCAAGCGUUAAUCGGGAAUUACUGGGGCGUAAAAGCGCGCGUAGGUGGUUACUUAAGUCAGAUGUGAAAAGCCCCGGGGCUUAACCUGGGGAACUGCAUCUGAUACUGGGGUAACUAGAGUAGGUGAGAGGGAAGUAGAAUUCCAGGUGUAGCGGUGAAAUGCGUAGAGAUCUGGAGGAAUACCGAUGGCGAAGGCAGCUUCCUGGCAUCAUACUGACACUGAGGUGCGAAAAGCGUGGGUAGCAAAACAGGAUU